UACGUAGGGUGCAAGCGUUGUCCGGAAUUAUUGGGCGUAAAGAGCUCGUAGGCGGUCUGUCGCGUCGGCUGUGAAAACCCGAGGCUCAACCUCGGGCCUGCAGUCGAUACGGGCAAACUAGAGUACUGCAGGGGAGACUGGAAUUCCUGGUGUAGCGGUGAAAUGCGCAGAUAUCAGGAGGAACACCGGUGGCGAAGGCGGUUCUCUGGGCAUGUCCUGACGCUGAGGAGCGAAAGUGUGGGGAGCGAACAGG
rnacentral:rRNA from 1 species